rnacentral:lncRNA from 1 species
UUUAUGCUGAAAUAAUUCUUAUAUGAUUUGCAUAUCUAUAAAUACUUGAAUUGGAUUGGUCAAUUAGAUUUUUCUCUAAGUUUACACUUCGAUAAACCAUGUUUACGAAACUACUUUUGUAAUCUAUUCAUGCGCGAUACACAAGCUUGCAGUGAUCAGGGAUUUUCAGCAAAUUGAGAUUUAAAAACAAUUGCAUAACAGUUGUGACUAUUCUAGUGCAUAUAUAACCAAAAAAAAAAAAAAAAAUAAAUUUAAAGCACUAAAGCUUCGAAAAUGUCUAAAAAUAAAAUUUAAUAAAAUUCCGCAAAAUUUCAUGAAGAAUUUGGCGAAUUUACGUCAUGGCAAAACACGACGUCAUACGAAUGGAAAUUUUCAAGGG